GACCGCUAUGAUUCUACCAAAGCCCUCCCUUGUUUGCUAGAGUUAUUCUGAGGUGUGGGUUCUGCGGUUUUCUCAGCUCAAGUCAAGAAGAUCUGUUGAGGCACCAUAGACUACGACACAAAAGAGGAUCUCACUGGCCCUGUAUCUACAGUGACUGUGUGUUCCUUCCAAACUCCUGGUGCGUUAAAAUCCCACCUUACCAGAUCACAUUGGAGGACUGUAAGAAGGCAGGUGACAUUGUCUUUUUUUCUGCUUUGUUACUGCGAGUACACAUAAAUCCUAAACUUAUCCGCAAAGUCCAGCUGACAAAGACCCGAGAA